AAAAUGCCCGAAAAGCUAAAAUAACUGCACCACCAUGAUCAGUGCGAAAUAAACUUCUCGAAAAUAUAGGUUUUGUCAAAUUUUGAAAUGGAAACCGCAUGACUAAAACUCUCAGACAGAUCAAAAUGUGACAAAAUAAUUAGCCAAAAAAUAAAUCGAGCACAUCAGAUUAAGCUACGCGAAACAUGGAUUAAUAAGAUUGAUGCAUGCAAGCUUG
rnacentral:lncRNA from 1 species